GAACGUGCCCCAAAGUGAGGAAUAACUGCCCGAAAGGGUGGCUAAUGCCGCAUAUGAUCUUCGGAUUAAAGGAUUUAUCCGCCUUGGGAGCGGCCCGCGUUAGAUUAGGUAGUUGGUAGGGUAAUGGCCUACCAAGCCGACGAUCUAUAGCUGGUCUGAGAGGAUGAUCAGCCAGACUGGGACUGAGACACGGCCCAGACUCCUACGGGAGGCAGCAGUGAGGAAUCUUCCACAAUGGGCGAAAGCCUGAUGGAGCAACGCCGCGUGAAGGAUGAAGGCCCUCGGGUCGUAAACUUCUUUUAUAAGUGAAGAAUAUGACGGUAACUUAUGAAUAAGCACCGACUAACUACGUGCCAGCAGCCGCGGUCAUACGUAGGGUGCAAGCAUUAUCCGGAGUGACUGGGCGUAAAGAGUUGCGUAGGUGGUUUGUUAAGUAGAUAGUGAAAUCUGGCGGCUCAACCGUACAGGCUAUUAUCUAAACUGGCAAACUCGAGAAUGGUAGAGGUAACUGGAAUUUCUUGUGUAGGAGUGAAAUCCGUAGAUAUAAGAAGGAACACCAAUGGCGUAGGCAGGUUACUGGACCAUUUCUGACACUGAGGCACGAAAGCGUGGGGAGCG
rnacentral:rRNA from 1 species